UAUUGAGUUUUAAGAGUUCUCAAUAUUAUUCUAGAUAUAAGUCCUUCAUCAGACAUAUGUUUUAUAAACAUUUUCU